UCGAGAAUUUUUGACAAUGGGGGAAACCCUGAUCGAGCGACGCCGCGUGGAGGAUGAAGGUCUUCGGGUUGUAAACUCCUGUCAUUUGGGAACAAGGCGUAUUUAUUAACUGUAAGUACGUUGAUAGUACCAGAAGAGGAAGAGACGGCUAACUCUGUGCCAGCAGCCGCGGUAAUACAGAGGUCUCAAGCGUUGUUCGGAUUCAUUGGGCGUAAAGGGUGUGUAGGUGGCGCGCUAAGUCGGGUGUGAAAUUUCGGAGCUUAACUCCGAAACUGCAUUCGAUACUGGCGUGCUUGAGGACUGGAGAGGAGACUGGAAUUUACGGUGUAGCAGUGAAAUGCGUAGAUAUCGUAAGGAAGACCAGUGGCGAAGGCGGGUCUCUGGACAGUUCCUGACACUGAGACACGAAGGCCAGGGGAGCAAACGGGAUUAGAUACCCCUGUAGUCC
rnacentral:rRNA from 1 species